UGGGACGAGGAGUUUAGGCUCUGAAGCAAUCGGAAGUGGUUCCAAGAAAAGCCUCUAAGCUUCAGUCAUACGAGACCGUACCGCAAACCGACACAGGUGGGCGAGAUGAGUAUUCUAAGGCGCUUGAGAGAACUCGGGAGAAGGAACUCGGCAAAUUGGUACCGUAACUUCGGGAAAAGGUACGCCCUUGUAGCUUGGCCGAUUUACUUCAGUAGGGCGAACGGGUUGCAAUAAACUGGUGGCUGCGACUGUUUAAUAAAAACACAGCACUCUGCAAACACGAAAGUGGACGUAUAGGGUGUGACGCCUGCCCGGUGCUGGAAGAUUAGAUGAUGGGGUGCAAGCUCUUGAUUGAAGUCCCAGUAAACGGCGGCCGUAACAAUAACGGUCCUAAGGUAGCGAAAUUCCUUGUCGGGUAAGUUCCGACCUGCACGAAUGGCGUAACGAUGGCCACACUGUCUCCUCCCGAGACUCAGCGAAGUUGAAGUGUUUGUGAUGAUGCAAUCUACCCGCGGCUAGACGGAAAGACCCCAUGAACCUUUACUGUAGCUUUGCAUUGGACUUUGAAUCAAUCUGUGUAGGAUAGGUGGGAGGCUUUGAAGCGGGGACGCCAGUUCUCGUGGAGCCAACCUUGAAAUACCACCCUGGUUCAUUUGAGGUUCUAACCUUGGCCCGUUAUCCGGGUCGGGGACAGUGCAUGGUAGGCAGUUUGACUGGGGCGGUCUCCUCCUAAAGUGUAACGGAGGAGUUCGAAGGUACGCUAGGUACGGUCGGACAUCGUGCUAAUAGUGCAAUGGCAUAAGCGUGCUUAACUGCGAGACUGACAAGUCGAGCAGGUACGAAAGUAGGACAUAGUGAUCCGGUGGUUCUGUAUGGAAGGGCCAUCGCUCAACGGAUAAAAGGUACUCUGGGGAUAACAGGCUGAUUCCUCCCAAGAGUUCAUAUCGACGGGGGAGUUUGGCACCUCGAUGUCGGCUCAUCACAUCCUGGGGCUGUAGCCGGUCCCAAGGGUAUGGCUGUUCGCCAUUUAAAGUGGUACGUGAGCUGGGUUUAAAACGUCGUGAGACAGUUUGGUCCCUAUCUGCCGUGGGCGUUGGAAAUUUGAAGGGGGCUGCUCCUAGUACGAGAGGACCGGAGUGGACAGACCUCUGGUGUACCGGUUGUCACGCCAGUGGCAUUGCCGGGUAGCUAAGUCUGGAAGAGAUAACCGCUGAAAGCAUCUAAGCGGGAAACUUGCCUUAAGAUGAGAUUUCCCAGAGCCUUGAGCUCUUUGAAGGGUCGUUCGAGACCAGGACGUUGAUAGGUCAGGUGUGGAAGC
rnacentral:rRNA from 1 species